UUCGGCGUUACCAGGAGAGACAUGCCACCAUUAGGGCUUCAUUUCCCUGCAGUCUUCUUUAAAUACCAAAACUGCCCUGGGAAGGAUAAGACAUCAGUUUCUUCAUACUUCAGAGCAAAUGGGAUUGAUUCCCAGGGCCUCCUUUCUGUGGACUGGGUUUUUGCCUCCUCACCAAGAGACUGGGCUCCCUGGGCGAGCAGAGGCUGCUGGGUUCAGUAUCUGAACACUUUUGCUAAAGGUGUCUGGAAAGCUCCCUGUGUUAAUUCUCGAUGAGACUACGUCUGUGCCGGCCGCUUCCUGAGCCUCUUUCCAUGUGCAUAGGCCUGCUGCAUGCUGGAGACCCGCGGCACAGCUGCCAAGUGCCCCGUGUGGUUCUGUGAUCUUGGGACAGUCACUUCCUCUCUGUGGUUGUCAGUCUUCUCAUCCCUAAGAUGGAAUAAAAAGGCCUACCUCAUUGGGCUCGUGUGGGUGAGGAGAACUGAAGAGUCUGAGAGCGCGGCACGAGCCAGAGGCUACGGAAAACACUGCCCUCCUACACUCCACCUUGGAGAGACCCAGAAAAGAACAAGCUUCAUUUGUAAAAAAGGAAAACAGCUCAUGGGGGUGGCUUAAAGGCACUCUACAGUGUGCAGAUGCCUUCUACUUCUUCCAUCUGCCCUGUCUUUCCAAGAACCCCUAUGGCCCCAGGCUCAGAACAGAGCUGAGUGCAGAAAUGAAAAUCUAUGGCUCUGUGUUCCAAAAUGAUGAAGAAUUUCAAGAUGGUGGCAGUGGUAAAAUCCUUCUCCAGGAAAAAUCUGUCCUUGGCCCAAUGUGUAAACACUUGCUGAGGAACUUGGAAUAACUUGCAGUGUCUUGCAGUAUUGUGAAACC
rnacentral:lncRNA from 1 species